rnacentral:rRNA from 1 species
CAGGCUUACCAUGCAAGUCGAGGGGCAGCAUGGUCUUAGCUUGCUAAGGCCGAUGGCGACCGGCGCACGGGUGAGUAACACGUAUCCAACCUGCCGUCUACUCUUGGACAGCCUUCUGAAAGGAAGAUUAAUACAAGAUGGCAUCAUGAGUUCACAUGUUCACAUGAUUAAAGGUAUUCCGGUAGACGAUGGGGAUGCGUUCCAUUAGAUAGUAGGCGGGGUAACGGCCCACCUAGUCUUCGAUGGAUAGGGGUUCUGAGAGGAAGGUCCCCCACAUUGGAACUGAGACACGGUCCAAACUCCUACGGGAGGCAGCAGUGAGGAAUAUUGGUCAAUGGGCGCAGGCCUGAACCAGCCAAGUAGCGUGAAGGAUGACUGCCCUAUGGGUUGUAAACUUCUUUUAUAAAGGAAUAAAGUCGGGUAUGUAUACCCGUUUGCAUGUACUUUAUGAAUAAGGAUCGGCUAACUCCGUGCCAGCAGCCGCGGUAAUACGGAGGAUCCGAGCGUUAUCCGGAUUUAUUGGGUUUAAAGGGAGCGUAGAUGGAUGUUUAAGUCAGUUGUGAAAGUUUGCGGCUCAACCGUAAAAUUGCAGUUGAUACUGGAUAUCUUGAGUGCAGUUGAGGCAGGCGGAAUUCGUGGUGUAGCGGUGAAAUGCUUAGAUAUCACGAAGAACUCCGAUUGCGAAGGCAGCCUGCUAAGCUGCAACUGACAUUGAGGCUCGAAAGUGUGGGUAUCAAACAGGAUUAGAUACCCUGGUAGUCCACACGGUAAACGAUGAAUACUCGCUGUUUGCGAUAUACUGCAAGCGGCCAAGCGAAAGCGUUAAGUAUUCCACCUGGGGAGUACGCCGGCAACGGUGAAACUCAAAGGAAUUGACGG